rnacentral:antisense_RNA from 1 species
GAGGGGAAACUGAGGCCAGUUAGUCCGGGCACUUACCCGCAGCUAGUUAAGGACUAGGCUUUGAUGGGGACGCUUGUUAUGACCUCAGUGGCCUGUAGAAUCUGGGAGGCCGCCUCCGACCUAAGCCCAAAAAGCACAUGGUCGGGCUCACAGGGGGCGGCCAGAGGUGAAAACAGCCAACGCUUUACAACGACGCUGUGCGGGGCACUUCGUGUGUGUCAUCCCGUCUCAUCCUCGGGUGAUGGGAACUGUUCAUUCGGGAAAAUUGCAAACAACUAAAUACCCCUCACCAGGAGCUGGCCCAUUAUAGCAACUCUGAGACCUCUCUACCACAGGCUCUUAGAAUGGGGGUCUCACUGUGUCACCCGGGCUGGAGUGCAGUGGUGCGAUCUCAGCUCACUGUAACCUCUGUCUCCCAGGUUCAAGAGAUUCUCACUUCAGCCUCCCGAGUAGCUGGGUUUACAGGCUGGUCUUGAACUCCUGAGCUCAAGUGAUUCUCGUGCCUCAGCCUCCUGAGGAGCUAGGAUUACAGGCAGGAGCCAUCACACCUGUCAGGAGCAGAAUAUUUGAAGUCAGGACUUUUC